rnacentral:rRNA from 1 species
UACAGAGGUCUCAAGCGUUGUUCGGAUUCAUUGGGCGUAAAGGGUGUGUAGGUGGCGCCGUAAGUGGGGUGUGAAAUUUCGAGGCUUAACCUCGAAACUGCAUUCCAUACUGCGGUGCUUGAGGACUGGAGAGGAGACUGGAAUUUACGGUGUAGCGGUGAAAUGCGUAGAUAUCGUAAGGAAGACCAGUGGCGAAGGCGGGUCUCUGGACAGUUCCUGACGCUGAGGCACGAAGGCCAGGGGAGCAAACGGG